GACGAACGCUGGCGGCGUGCUUAACACAUGCCAGUCGAACGGAAAGGCCCUGCUUUUGUGGGUUGCUCGAGUGGCGAACGGGUGAGUAACACGUGAGUAACCUGCCCUUGACUUUGGGAUAACUUCAGGAAACUGGGGCUAAUACCGGAUAGGAGCUCCUGCUCCAUGGUGGUGGUUGGAAAGUUUCGGCGGUUGGGGAUGGACUCGCGGCUUAUCAGCUUGUUGGUGGGGUAGUGGCUUACCAAGGCUUUGACGGGUAGCCGGCCUGAGAGGGUGACCGGCCACAUGGGGACUGAGAGACGGCGCAGACUCCUACGGGAGGCAGCAGUGGGGAAUAUUGCACAAUGGGCGGAAGCCUGAUGCAGCAGCGCCGCGUGCGGGAUGACGGGCUUCGGGUUAUAAACCGCUUUCGCCUGUGACGAAGCGUGAGUGACGGUAAUGGGUAAAGAAGCACCGGCUAACUACGUG
rnacentral:rRNA from 1 species